UCUCAAAAGGCACAUCCAUUAAAACAAGGAUUGAAAC
rnacentral:other from 1 species